rnacentral:misc_RNA from 1 species
GAGCAUGCUGCUGAACUAGGUAGUCAGUACAAUCAGCCUCUUUUACCGAAGAAAGUGAGUUCUGGGCUUGCUGGUGUUAAUGUAACUGAAAAGAGCGGCAGCAAUCUAGUCAGAUCUAAUGAAAACACACAGAAGCCUUCUCCCGAUGGUAACAACAUUGCAGCCUUCAAUCAUGGUGCGGGCAGCAAUGCUGUGGCCAAUGUGGUACGUUUCUGCCUUUUUC